rnacentral:misc_RNA from 1 species
AACGAGGCCGACCUGCGGCUGAGUUACCUGCGGAGGGAUCAUUACCAGAGAGCCUUUUGGCACUCCAACCCAUUGUGAACAUACCUAUCGUUCCCUCGGCGGGCUCAGCGCGCGGGGCCUCCGGGCUUCCGGGCGUCCGCCGGGGACAACCAAACCCUGAUUUACUACGUGUAUCUCUGAGGGGCGAAAGCCCGAAAACAAAAUAAAUCAAAACUUUCAACAAUGGAUCUCAGAUCGGAA